GGGGGAUAUUGCACAAUGGAGGAAACUCUGAUGCAGCAACGCCGCGUGAGGGAAGAAGGUCUUCGGGUUGUAAACCUUUGUCCUUGGUGACGAUAAUGACGGUAGCCAAGGAGGAAGCUCCGGCUAACUACGUGCCAGCAGCCGCGGUAAUACGUAGGGAGCGAGCGUUGUCCGGAUUUACUGGGUGUAAAGGGUGCGUAGGCGGCUUUGCAAGUCAGGUGUGAAAACUAUCGGCUUAACUGAUAGACUGCAUUUGAAACUGUGGAGCUUGAGUGAAGUAGAGGCAGACGGAAUUCCCGGUGUAGCGGUGAAAUGCGUAGAGAUCGGGAGGAACACCAGUGGCGAAGGCGGCCUACUGGGCUUUAACUGACGCUGAAGCACGAAAGCAUGGGUAGCAAAC
rnacentral:rRNA from 1 species